GCCUUAUACAGAUAUAGUCACGCGAGACAGUGGCGCAUCUCCCUUUAAGGCAGUGUUCCAUUAGAAGCAUAAGCAACAACCCUGGUUGCGUGGCUCUUUAGUCGAAACCAGGUGAGCUUAUGUGGAACAGGUUAUCCGUAAGACCUUGGGUUGAAAAACCCUAAAAUUGACCUGGGAACAGCGAGUAUAGUUUCGCGAUUUUCAUUAUUUCUGGUUACGGUUGU
ncrna:unclassified sequences IS605-orfB-I RNA